rnacentral:rRNA from 1 species
AGAAGGGUCCCUGUGAAGGGGUGCAAUAACCAGAUCCAGGCGAGUGCUUAUCAAAAGCACAGGUCUCCGCUACGUCGAAAGAUAAUGUGUGGGGCUGAC